rnacentral:lncRNA from 1 species
GUUGAUUUAUUUUUAUGUUUACCCAAAUUUAUCCUUGAAUGACCUAUAUAGUGAAAACAGUACAGAUGCCUCCCAUGUCAGUAACUAAAUCAAUUAGCCUAUAUAGGAAAACAGUGUUUGACUUUUGUUCUAAAGCUAAGGUGGAAGGUGGUUCACUGCGUCCUCAAGUAAGUUAAAUGACAUCUACCAUCGACAUCCAGAUAACUCCUUAACAACAUUAAAUGUUCUGGCACUAUUAGUCUGUGUCCAGAAUGUCAUAAUGUUUGAUCAAGAAGAAAAGCCUAAUAUGUGUCAUAUGAGGGCUAUGUUUCUUACAUCCUGCAAAGUAC